rnacentral:rRNA from 1 species
UGGGGAAUUUUGCGCAAUGGACGAAAGUCUGACGCAGCAACGCCGCGUGGGUGAUGAAGGUCUUCGGAUCGUAAAACCCUGUCGUCAGGGACGAAGACUGAGGGGUUAAUACCCUUUCAGUUUGACGGUACCUGGAGAGGAAGCCCCGGCUAACUCUGUGCCAGCAGCCGCGGUAAUACAGAGGGGGCAAGCGUUAUUCGGAAUUAUUGGGCGUAAAGGGCGCGUAGGCGGUCGUUUAAGUCAGAUGUGUAAUCCCCGAGCUCAACUUGGGAACUGCAUCUGAGACUGGAGGACUAGAGUGCUGGAGAGGGUGGUAGAAUUCCACGUGUAGCGGUGAAAUGCGUAGAGAUGUGGAGGAAUACCAGUGGCGAAGGCGGCCACCUGGACAGUAACUGACGCUGAGGCGCGAAAGUGUGGGUAGCAAACAGG